GAACCCAGAGGCAGAGCAGGGCUGCGGGCGGGGCCCGAAGGGCGCGCAGGGUCCUGGGUCCCGCAGCCCAGGCCGCUCUUCCCCGCCUCCCGCUCCCCGCAGGGCUCUGCUUGAGAGGGGCUGCCCGGCCCUGGGGAGAUACUCCACCCUCCGCCCAGCCCAGAGCAUCCCAGCUUACAAGCUUGCAGGGCCUGUGGGGAUGAACCACGCGGAUGAUCUCCCCGGAGCCAGGAACCUAUGGUCUAACGCCGGGGUGGCCACUUGGUUCUGCUUCAACUCCAGCCCCAGGGGAUGUGGCUGGUCCAGCGCCUCAGGACACAGCUGGAGCCGUCCAGGUCUGAUUGGGAGGCCUCUUGGCCCGGAUGGUUGGAGCAGGAAGAGGAGGGGCUGGGGAUGGAGGAAAUGCCUGUUGUCCCAGCCUCCCCCGCCCCGGAAAGGCUAGCAGGCCCUCCUUCCUUCCUUCCUCCGGGAAGCACAUCUAUCCAGGGCAGGCUCAUCCCCAGCGGCCACACAAUGGCCCUUAUCAGCCGUGGAGCCAGGCGUAGACCCAGUGCACACCAGGAAACCACAGGUGCCUGGAACUUUGAAGAGACUGCACCACUUCUCUGAGCCUUGGCUUUCCUGUCUGCCCAAUGAAGGGUGCCAUACAGCAACCCUCCCGAUGGCUGUGUGUGUGAGAAGGAACAGGCGGCAAGUGAGGGCUUUGGAGGUCCCUAGGUAUAUGUGCUGGGGGCAGGCAUAGGUUACCAUGGGGGAAAACUCAGCAAGAAGGGUCUGAGAAGUGGGGCAGAAAGAGAAGAUGGUGGCAUUCUGGACCGGUUAACACAGGAAGAAGGCUCAACACUCAGGGUAUGCGGGGCAGUGGGUCAGGAGGGAUGAACGAGAGCUCAUUCGACUUAGCAGAGUCCAUGAAGCGGCCAGCGGCAUAGACGGCAUGCUCCACCUGGUUAGCGCUCCAGAGGCUGACCAUUCUGGAACUUCAUCCUAGCCCCAA